GGACGAAAAGACCCCGUGAACCUUUACUAUAGCUUAGUAUUGACUCUGGACAAAUAAUGUGUAGGAUAGGUGGGAGACUUCGAUCUUGCGUCGCCAGGCGUGGGUGAGUCACUGUUGAAAUACCACCCUUUAUUUGUUUAGAGCCUAACUCCUAACGGAGGACAGUGCUUGGUGGGUAGUUUGACUGGGGUGGUCGCCUCCAAAAGAGUAACGGAGGCUUCUAAAGGUUCCCUCAACACGGUUGGCAAUCGUGUGUAGAGUGCAAUGGCAUAAGGGAGCUUGACUGAGAGACCUACAAGUCGAUCAGGUACGAAAGUAGAGCAUAGUGAUCCGGUGGUUCCGCAUGGAAGGGCCAUCGCUCAAAGGAUAAAAGGUACUCCGGGGAUAACA
rnacentral:rRNA from 1 species